rnacentral:lncRNA from 1 species
UCAUCACAAUCAUCACUACCAUCAUGAUCACCAUCACCAUCAUCACCACACCAUCACCAUCAUCACACCAUCACCAUCACCAUCAUCAUGACCAUCACCAUCACCAUCAUCACACCAUCAUCACCAUCACCAUCAUCACAAUCAUCACUACCAUCAUGAUCACCAUCACCGUCAUCACACCAUCACCAUCACCAUCAUCACACCAUCACCAUCAUCAUCACCAUCAUCACCAUCACCAUCAUCAUCAUGAUCACCAUCACCAUCAUCACCAUCACCAUCAUCAUCAUGAUCACCAUCACCAUCACUAUCAUCAUCACCA